GACGUCACCGCCUCCUCCUCGCCCCGCAGGCAGCGGCACGGCACCAGGCGAACGAAGAAGCUGCGCUUCGACAUCUUCAGGCACUGCGGAAGGGAACAAAACGAGAUUAGCAAGAGUUCAUAGAGAUGUAGCAGGCAAUCCUGGGAACGCCAUAACAAUCUGGAUGAAAAGCUGCUUUGAGGAAGCAAGGGCCACCCCUCGCUAAUCACAUUGUCACAUCCAGAGCUGCUCGCUAUUAAUAACGCAAGCUGCUUGCUGCCGAUGACAUGUACUCAACUCAGUGCGAAAUGCCAACAAACACCGCAGAAGCUUCUGUCUGAUGUCUGCUGUCAAUCAUGUCAUGCAGGAGGAGUGAUUAUACCGCCAUAUGUGGAGCCAGCUCACCCGGGCCCUGCAGCUAUUCUUUCAAGUUGAAUGAUUGUUUCAUUCCUAUUGACGACAAUAGACCUCAAAUCCAUUUGGACUAUGGACAUGUAUCCAUCAAGAUGGAGAUGCAAAUUACUGCACAUUAUUUCCUAUGAGGGAUAAAAGCUUUGUCAGACCAGCCCUGUUAUACAGGUAACAGAUGAAGUUACUCAAUUUCUUAUUUUUAACUCUACAUGAAAACAUAACAGAGACUGCACGCUUGAGUUGAACCGGAACUGAAAAGCUGGUAUCUGGGAAGGUGGGGCGGUGGUAGGGGCUUUAGAAGACUAGAACCUGAAGUUCCAGUUUCACGCUGUGUUCCAGUGAGCCUCUCACCAGUCUCACGUGACGCUGCAAAACAAAAAGCCUGAUUGUUUUCUCAACGUUUGGCCACAAAUGAAGCGGAAACAUGGUGGUGGCGUCUCAGCUAUCCAGCAAACAAGAGGCCGCUAGCAGAUAGCUGCACAAUGGCGCCACAGUGCCAGGCCUCGGACAAGACAAAAGAAGCCGGCGAGCGAGAAACAUUCACCCUUAUUCAUCGCAUCGCCCCAGUCAGCCGCAAACACGAGUCAGCUUCUGCUCCACUUCCUUUUUGCCGCCUGACAUCGCAAAUGCAAAAAAUACUUACAAAUUCUACAGAUUACGUGUAUAUGGGUUCACUUGUAGGUCAUUAUGAAGUUGCCGCAAAUGUCAGAAAAGCAAAAGUAACACUUUAACCAUGCUUGGAUGAGAUUGUUUUAUGGGAGAAUCAAGACUGGAGUGGUCUUUUACUCGGUCACAGGAUAAGUGAGAGCACAGAUGGAUAACUUAUUCAAUGGUGAUCAUCCGCUGACCAUUCUGUUUGUACUGACAGCCGACACGCAGUAUGUGAAACAAUCACCCAUAUCCGCAUAAUUUGCUGAAAUCACGUGAGAACAGAACACGUUUUCUUGUCACAACCAAAUGAAGCUUAUUGCUCACCAGCUACUAAACGGUCACUACUCACUAGAGGUGUGAAAAUAUAUCAAUAUGGCGAUAUAUCUCGUUACUUUGUAACCAGAUAGAUUAUCAAUAUGACUCCUCCAAGAAUAUAUUGUUUUAAAAAUACUAAUACAUAAGGGUUUUGCUACCCAGAUUUUCCACUAGAAUAAUGUCUAUAUUAACUCACCGGCUGCCAUAGAGAGCGCUAGACGUACAAUUCAUUGUGACUGGGAGAGGACGACUGAAUAGCGUACCGCACAAAUGCUAUUUUUAGACCAUGACGUCACAUCGUAAAGCGGAAGUGGGACAUUAUAACACGCCCUCGCAUACAAACCAUUAUUUUUCUGCUAGUUUUCUCCGGUAAUCUUUCCAAAACAAAUAUGCCGAUCAAACUAGAAACAACUCUAGACAUUACGACCAUUCAAAUAUGAAAGAUGUUUUCUUCAUACGUUUCCCGAAACCAAAGACUCAAAGGAAAAUAUGUGAACAAUGAAUCAGCUUGUGCGGCGUCCGAAAGACCAGUUUAACGCCAGCAAGGGGAAGUCAUUCACCUACAAAUGACAAUCCAGACCCAUUGCCUGCCACAGCGUCCCCCGAAGAGGUAAGUCAUUUUGAUAUUUUUACUUAUUUUUUUAGCGUAGCGUUUUGCCGUGCUGCUUCUGUCUGACAUUGAAUGACCUGGGAAAAAAAAGUGGUAUCUGACUGCCACCGUUGUUACCUUUUCUGUUUUAAAGAGACAACUUUAGUAAGUGGGAAGUAGGGGUGUGACAAAAUAUCGACAUGGUGAUAUAUCAUGAUACUUUGUAUCCCAAAAGGUUAUCGAUAUGCUCCUGUCAAGAAUCGAGAUAUCGUUUUAAAAAGGUGUCAAUAAUAAAAAAAAUAAAUAAAUAAAAAUAAAUUUAAAAAAAGGAACUGUCAAGUUGCUACCAAAAUCUUCCAACAUGUUAGUGUCUCAGUUAACUCUACGGGUGCCAUUGACUGUGCUCGACGCCCAAUCCAUUUAGGCUGGGAAACGUUCGUUCAUUCAAAACCAGAGCAUUCACAGUCAUUCGGUCCCAGGGUCCCCCCAGGAUUGAUAAAUCUAAAUUCAAGACUUUUAAGACCUUUUUUACUGCCAUUUCAACUGAAAAUUAAUACUUUUCUCGCACCCAUUAUUUAGAUCAUAUUGAAUCAUAUUAAAUAAAUAAAGCACUGAACGUCAAAUUUAACCUCAAUUACUAAGUGUGUUUGACAAAAGAAUACACAUAUAUUGAAGAUACAAUUAAAACUUAUUUAAGGUAACAUUACAAAGUGUCCGAAUUUUUUUUUAACACACACACGCACACAGAAAUUAUGGACAAAAAGAGGAGGAGGACAGGACUCAGACCAGCCAUCUUCUGAAACAGGCUAGCCACUAGUGCACCUGCCAAGACCCUAGUGAACAUGGCUAACUCUUGAGUUUAAACGGCGAAAUUCACAGUCAUUCGAAAGGCAAACCGAAAUGUUUAAGCAGGUCCACUGCCUUCGCAUGACCCAUAAACUGCAACCUAAAGUAUCUGGAUGUAACUUGAGCCCUUAUCACGUAUUCCAAAACAACGGGAAUAUCGCAGGACUUAACCGUGCAGCAGUUGUGUGUGAAAACAAUUUCCCGUGUCGACAGACAUGGGAAGCAGCGUGCGUGAAAGCACUCCUUCUUCGCAGUAAGAGGAAAAGCGGUAAACAAACAUCGCAAUUAUAAACAUAGCAAGCUGGAAACAGCUAUAUUAAACUGAAAACAUGACCAAAAUUAAAAUGUCAAUUAUUACGACGGGCCAAGCCAGGGUUCUUUCUCGCUACUUUUUCAAAUAACUAUAUAUUAACGAUGUAUGAAUGAUAAACUAAGGAAUACUUGUUAUAAAAUAAAUAAUUUGGAUAAAAAAGAAGGCACUGUAUGGUCAUUGCAGAGCCAGAGCGUGCCUAUACGCCCUUUUUAAUCUUGCCCUCUGCGAGUCCGCAAAACCGAAUCUGUUUAUUUAUGUUUAACAAACUUUUCCAGCGUUAUUUCGUUGAGUAAAUAAAUUUAUAAUGAUCAUAAAAAUAUGUAGUCUAUUUAAACAUUAAGAAAAUGUGCGUUUUUUUCUGCCAACUGAGAAUUCGUUAUAAAAGACAGGCUUUUAUGCAGACACAGUCACAAAUGUUAUCACACAAAACGCGGGUCGGGCUUUAAUACCCGCGGACCAGUUUGGGUCGGGCUGGACUUUUUAGGCCCGAUUUUACCUCUAUCUUAAAGUCUUGAUGAGCUUAAAUUGGCUGCAGUUACGAAGUCGGGAAUGCUCCCUCCGGAAAAAAAAAUCGAUUUGAGCAACAUUAUGUUUAACAAACUUUUCCAGCGUUAUUUCAUUGUGUGAAUGCAUUUAUAAUGGUCAUAAAAAUAUGCAGACUAUUUAAACAUUAAGAAAAUGCGCGUUUUUUUCUGCCAACUGAAAAUUCGUUACAAAAGACAGUUAAAAGACAUUGGGAACGCUCCCUCUGGAACAAAACGUAAUAUGACCAACAUUGUGACAGCCGAUGCCGACCAAAAAUGACGUAAUAUCCGAAACAGAUCACCAAUGGACUCAUUUGAAGUAUAUGAAUGGUGGUCUGUUUUGGUGUUCAGAAUCCACAAUACUUCUGCCUGCAGGGUUUUCGUUCCACCGACAAACCAACGCAUUCCCGAUGCAGAGGUGGAUGGAUUCUCCGUUUUGCCGGUUGUGGUGGUUUGGCACGCACGAGUUGCAUUUCAAUUUGUAGUGCAGUGAAUCGUAAAAAUUAUAUGAGUCAUCUUCGUUAUAGAUUUUAAAAAAAAAAAAAAAAAAAAAAAAAAAAACUUCGUCACGGAUAUAAUUUACGUUGCUCUGAGAUGUUCUUGAAAAUUAAGACCACGGUGAAAAAAUUCCAGAAUUACUACCGCUAAUUUCAUACUUUUAAUACCUUUAAUAAUGGAAAACUAAAUUCAAUGCUUUUUUAAUACUUUUAAUAACCUGCGGGUACCCUGGGUGCGAUUUUCGGGGCAUUUACAGCUCACUUGCUAUUCAUUUUAGCGAAUUUACAGGUAAUUUCCAUUUUCCUGUUGAGUUUGAGUCACUGCCAAUUCAUGUGGGUGAUUCCCAGGUCACUUCCUGUUCUGUAACUCAAAAUAAACAGGUCACUUCCUUUUCUGUAACUCGAAAUAAACAGGAAGUGACCCAUAAAAUACACCAAAAUCAACAGGAAGUAACUGAAAAUCAACAGGUAAAUGAUCUUAAAUGGCCCAAAAUUACCUCAUUGCCUGACAUUGGCUGCCACUGACGGCCAUAGACGUUCAAUCCGUUUGAAGUGGGAGGGAUGGCAGCGAAUGAACGAAUGUUCAUUGGCUGUCUACUCGUCGACGUCUACUAGUGAUAAACCCUCGCAGAAGCUUGUUUUUCUGUAUAAGUUCUUUGUAGAAUAUUUUAGAAUGAUUUCCUGACCAACGUAUCGAUAAUCGUUGUAUCGCCAAAUCGUCAGAUCAUCGUUAUCGUGAGCUUUGUAUCGCAAAUCGUAUCGUAUCGUCAGGGACCAAGAGGUUCCCACUCCUAGUGGGAAGUGUAAUUAAAUUAACAGAAUUAAGAUUUACUAUUGAUGAAAAAAUUAAAAGUGUUCGUUGGCUGUCACUGAGUAGAAUUUGCGAUCGCUACACAAAACUCACAAUAUAAAUUACCCCCAAGAACAGUCAGAGAUGCAAGACAAUCAGAGGAUAUAAUAUACAUGAAAGACAGGGCAUAUGGGGAUAAAAGAUAGCUUGUUGAAACAGGGGAACGUCAUUGUCAGUGGCGUAAGGAAAAAGACGUGGAUCAGCUCAGCUCUUUUUCGGCCCUCGACACUCAAGCCAUCUCUUUAACUGAGCAUUUGUAUGUUGUUCCACACUUUUACCUGUUAAUUUGGCACCAGGAACAUCAUUUUCUGACAGAAUUGGUAGGUUUAGCUCUGUAAACAUCUCCUUCGUACACUAUUUCCAUUCAUUUACUAAUGGAAACAAACGGUAGCGUGUGUCCCCCUUAGCAACAGUUGCUAACGUCAUGAAUAUUAAUGACGGAAGUGACGUGUAGCGUGCGGUACGCCAUUCGACUUCUACCUUUGUCAGUGGCAGGCAAUGACUUAAGACAAAAAUGUUGCAAAGAGUGUCGCUCUAUUUUUUACAGAACUGUUGCACCGAAACUUUUCUCAUAAUUUUUACGGACAGUGCAAAAAUAAAAAUGGUUAUUUUUCCAUUUAGAAAUAGCUUGUUUUCCCCUUUGAUAGUGGUAUUAUAUAAUAUAGUAGAUUACUGUGGGUGGGUGGAUGGAUGGAUGGACGGACGGACGGAAUAGUACGAGAAUAAGUGGUAUUAUUAUAAGCAGCUACGUACUUUACGUAGCGGGUUGCUGCCUCCAUUUAAAUCAACUCUAGUAAAAGCAUCUUUUGUUUUAGAAUCGGCAAUUGUUUUAGAAGUGUGUAGCUGCUACCUUUUUCUUGCUUUCUCAUAUUUAUGCGUUCAAUCUUCAUCUACACCCAGUGAACGUGUGUUCUCCACUGCAGGAGACACUAUCUGUCCAGAACGCUCAUGCUUACCGCCUGAGAAGGCAGAUAUGAUCAUUUUCCUCAAAAAACUUUCUGAUUGUGUACUGUACCCGUUGCUAGUCUGGACUGGGUUUUACAACUUCUUUUUUGUUUGUUUGAUAUUCUGCACCAGAUUAGCCCUUUAGUUGGAGCUCAAUAACAUGUAAAAAUGCCUGCAGCAUAAGACACUCAAAAAGAUGGCAAAAUAAUAUGUGUAAAUGUUUUCUCCAUGAACUUUUGAAACAUAAACAUCUUUGUGAAAGUGCACUUCUGUGGAAAGAAACUUCAUUAUAUUCAGGUUCAAAGACUGAUAUUUAUAUACAAGUUAAAAAUAGCCCUGUGAGAAAUUCAUAGUUGAUUGAAAGUUCAUAUAAUUCAAAAAACAAUCGAGAGGUUCAGAAAUGAAUAUAAACUAGCGAUGUCCCGAUCGGAUCGGACGCCGAUAUGGGCAAAAAAAUGC